rnacentral:rRNA from 1 species
ACCUACGGGGGGCAGCAGUAGGGAAUUUUCGUCAAUGGGCGCAAGCCUGAACGAGCAAUGCCGCGUGAACGAGGAAGGUCUUCGGAUCGUAAAGUUCUGUUGAAGGGGAAAAAGAGCGGAGAGAGGAAAUGGUCUCCGAUUGAUAUUACCCUUCGAGGAAGUCACGGCUAACUACGUGCCAGCAGCCGCGGUAAUACGUAGGUGGCGAGCGUUAUCCAGAAUGAUUGGGCGUAAAGGGUGCGUAGGCGGCCUGCUAAGUCUGGAGUGAAAGGUACCGGCUCAACCGGUACAGGCUCUGGAAACUG